GGGUCAGUAGGUUGGUCGUGCCACCGGUACGUACUGGUCUCACUGAUUCCUCCUUCCUGAAGAACCGUAAUGCCAUUAAUUUGGUUUUGCGGGGAAACAGGACUGUUACUUUGAAAAAAUUAGAGUGUUUAAAGCAAGCUAACGCUUGAAUACAUUAGCAUGGAAUAAUGAAAUAGGACGAUCGAUCCUAUUUUGUUGGUUUCUAGGAUUGACGUA
rnacentral:rRNA from 1 species